UACGUAGGGUGCGAGCGUUGUCCGGAAUUAUUGGGCGUAAAGAGCUCGUAGGCGGUCUGUCGCGUCGGAUGUGAAAACUCGGGGCUCAACCCCGGGCCUGCAUUCGAUACGGGCAGACUAGAGUUCGGCAGGGGAGACUGGAAUUCCUGGUGUAGCGGUGAAAUGCGCAGAUAUCAGGAGGAACACCGGUGGCGAAGGCGGGUCUCUGGGCCGAAACUGACGCUGAGGAGCGAAAGCGUGGGGAGCAAACAGG
rnacentral:rRNA from 1 species